AGGAUUAGAUACCCUAUUAUUUUUAUUGUAAAAUUUUAAACUUGAGUAUUAGUAGUUAAGAUCUUGAAACUUAAAGAAUUUGGCGGUAUUAUAGUCUAUUUAGAGGAAUCUGUUAUGUAAUCGAUAGUCCACGUUGAACCUUACUUAUAUUAUUUCUUGUAUACCGCUGUUUGAGAAUAUACUUUUAGGUUAUUUUCUUAAUAUAUUAUUAAUUAAAAUUUCAGGUCAAGGUGCAGUAAUAUGUAAGUUGAAUAAUGGAUUACAAUAAAUUUUAUUUAUAUGGAUUGUUAUUGAAAUAUAAUUUGAAGGUGGAUUUAAUUGUAAUUUUUUAAAGAUUAUUAAAAUGAUUAAUAGCUCUAUAAUAUGUACACAUCGCCCGUCGCUCUCGUUAUUAAGAUGAGAUAAGUCGUAACAUA
rnacentral:rRNA from 1 species